rnacentral:rRNA from 1 species
UUAAGUUAUUAAGGGCGCACGGUGGAUGCCUUGGCACUAGAAGCCGAUGAAGGACGUUACUAACGACGAUAUGCUUUGGGGAGCUGUAAGUAAGCUUUGAUCCAGAGAUUUCCGAAUGGGGAAACCCAGCAUGAGUUAUGUCAUGUUAUCGAUAUGUGAAUACAUAGCAUAUCAGAAGGCACACCCGGAGAACUGAAACAUCUUAGUACCCGGAGGAAGAGAAAGAAAAUUCGAUUCCCUUAGUAGCGGCGAGCGAAACGGGAAGAGCCCAAACCAACAAGCUUGCUUGUUGGGGUUGUAGGACACUCUAUACGGAGUUACAAAGGACGACAUUAGACGAAUCAUCUGGAAAGAUGAAUCAAAGAAGGUAAUAAUCCUGUAGUCGAAAAUGUUGUCUCUCUUGAGUGGAUCCUGAGUACGACGGAGCACGUGAAAUUCCGUCGGAAUCUGGGAGGACCAUCUCCUAAGGCUAAAUACUCUCUAGUGACCGAUAGUGAACCAGUACCGUGAGGGAAAGGUGAAAAGCACCCCGGAAGGGGAGUGAAAUAGAACCUGAAACCGUGUGCUUACAAGUAGUCAGAGCCCGUUAAUGGGUGAUGGCGUGCCUUUUGUAGAAUGAACCGGCGAGUUACGAUUUGAUGCAAGGUUAAGCAGUAAAUGUGGAGCCGUAGCGAAAGCGAGUCUGAAUAGGGCGUUUAGUAUUUGGUCGUAGACCCGAAACCAGGUGAUCUACCCUUGGUCAGGUUGAAGUUCAGGUAACACUGAAUGGAGGACCGAACCGACUUACGUUGAAAAGUGAGCGGAUGAACUGAGGGUAGCGGAGAAAUUCCAAUCGAACCUGGAGAUAGCUGGUUCUCUCCGAAAUAGCUUUAGGGCUAGCCUCAAGUGAUGAUUAUUGGAGGUAGAGCACUGUUUGGACGAGGGGCCCCUCUCGGGUUACCGAAUUCAGACAAACUCCGAAUGCCAAUUAAUUUAACUUGGGAGUCAGAACAUGGGUGAUAAGGUCCGUGUUCGAAAGGGAAACAGCCCAGACCACCAGCUAAGGUCCCAAAAUAUAUGUUAAGUGGAAAAGGAUGUGGCGUUGCCCAGACAACUAGGAUGUUGGCUUAGAAGCAGCCAUCAUUUAAAGAGUGCGUAAUAGCUCACUAGUCGAGUGACACUGCGCCGAAAAUGUACCGGGGCUAAACAUAUUACCGAAGCUGUGGAUUGUCCUUUGGACAAUGGUAGGAGAGCGUUCUAAGGGCGUUGAAGCAUGAUCGUAAGGACAUGUGGAGCGCUUAGAAGUGAGAAUGCCGGUGUGAGUAGCGAAAGACGGGUGAGAAUCCCGUCCACCGAUUGACUAAGGUUUCCAGAGGAAGGCUCGUCCGCUCUGGGUUAGUCGGGUCCUAAGCUGAGGCCGACAGGCGUAGGCGAUGGAUAACAGGUUGAUAUUCCUGUACCACCUAUAAUCGUUUUAAUCGAUGGGGGGACGCAGUAGGAUAGGCGAAGCGUGCGAUUGGAUUGCACGUCUAAGCAGUAAGGCUGAGUAUUAGGCAAAUCCGGUACUCGUUAAGGCUGAGCUGUGAUGGGGAGAAGACAUUGUGUCUUCGAGUCGUUGAUUUCACACUGCCGAGAAAAGCCUCUAGAUAGAAAAUAGGUGCCCGUACCGCAAACCGACACAGGUAGUCAAGAUGAGAAUUCUAAGGUGAGCGAGCGAACUCUCGUUAAGGAACUCGGCAAAAUGACCCCGUAACUUCGGGAGAAGGGGUGCUCUUUAGGGUUAACGCCCAGAAGAGCCGCAGUGAAUAGGCCCAAGCGACUGUUUAUCAAAAACACAGGUCUCUGCUAAACCGUAAGGUGAUGUAUAGGGGCUGACGCCUGCCCGGUGCUGGAAGGUUAAGAGGAGUGGUUAGCUUCUGCGAAGCUACGAAUCGAAGCCCCAGUAAACGGCGGCCGUAACUAUAACGGUCCUAAGGUAGCGAAAUUCCUUGUCGGGUAAGUUCCGACCCGCACGAAAGGCGUAACGAUUUGGGCACUGUCUCAACGAGAGACUCGGUGAAAUCAUAGUACCUGUGAAGAUGCAGGUUACCCGCGACAGGACGGAAAGACCCCGUGGAGCUUUACUGUAGCCUGAUAUUGAAAUUCGGCACAGCUUGUACAGGAUAGGUAGGAGCCUUUGAAACGUGAGCGCUAGCUUACGUGGAGGCGCUGGUGGGAUACUACCCUAGCUGUGUUGGCUUUCUAACCCGCACCACUUAUCGUGGUGGGAGACAGUGUCAGGCGGGCAGUUUGACUGGGGCGGUCGCCUCCUAAAAGGUAACGGAGGCGCUCAAAGGUUCCCUCAGAAUGGUUGGAAAUCAUUCAUAGAGUGUAAAGGCAUAAGGGAGCUUGACUGCGAGACCUACAAGUCGAGCAGGGUCGAAAGACGGACUUAGUGAUCCGGUGGUUCCGCAUGGAAGGGCCAUCGCUCAACGGAUAAAAGCUACCCCGGGGAUAACAGGCUUAUCUCCCCCAAGAGUUCACAUCGACGGGGAGGUUUGGCACCUCGAUGUCGGCUCAUCGCAUCCUGGGGCUGUAGUCGGUCCCAAGGGUUGGGCUGUUCGCCCAUUAAAGCGGUACGCGAGCUGGGUUCAGAACGUCGUGAGACAGUUCGGUCCCUAUCCGUCGUGGGCGUAGGAAAUUUGAGAGGAGCUGUCCUUAGUACGAGAGGACCGGGAUGGACAUACCUCUGGUGUACCAGUUGUCGUGCCAACGGCAUAGCUGGGUAGCUAUGUGUGGACGGGAUAAGUGCUGAAAGCAUCUAAGCAUGAAGCCCCCCUCAAGAUGAGAUUUCCCAACUUCGGUUAUAAGAUCCCUUAAAGAUGAUGAGGUUAAUAGGUUCGAGGUGGAAGCAUGGUGACAUGUGGAGCUGACGAAUACUAAUCGAUCGAAGACUUAAUCAA